rfam:Buceros rhinoceros silvestris contig46326, whole genome shotgun sequence.
AAUCAGGUUUUUUUCAAAACCAAUAUUCUUAUUUUUAUAGUAACAU